rnacentral:rRNA from 1 species
ACGAACGCUGGCGGCGUGCCUAAUACAUGCAGGUUGAGCGCUGAAGGUUGGUACUUGUACCCACUGGAUGAGCAGCGAACGGGUGAGUAACGCGUGGGGAAUCUGCCUUUGAGCGGGGGACAACAUUUGGAAACGAAUGCUAAUACCGCAUAAAAACUUUAAACACAAGUUUUAAGUUUGAAAGAUGCAAUUGCAUCACUCAAAGAUGAUCCCGCGUUGUAUUAGCUAGUUGGUGAGGUAAAGGCUCACCAAGGCGAUGAUACAUAGCCGACCUGAGAGGGUGAUCGGCCACAUUGGGACUGAGACACGGCCCAAACUCCUACGGGAGGCAGCAGUAGGGAAUCUUCGGCAAUGGACGAAAGUCUGACCGAGCAACGCCGCGUGAGUGAAGAAGGUUUUCGGAUCGUAAAACUCUGUUGGUAGAGAAGAACGUUGGUGAGAGUGGAAAGCUCAUCAAGUGACGGUAACUACCCAGAAAGGGACGGCUAACUACGUG